rnacentral:lncRNA from 1 species
GCCAAGUUUUAUCAAAAUGUUCUCUAAAUUUUCAUGCAUUUUUCACUGAGGUAAUUUUGUGUAAUUAGUACAGGAAAUCUAAGGAAAGCAUCCCUUGAUUUCUGCAAUUGCCAGAAAUACUCCACAAGAAACAGAAGCCUUGGUGCUAUGGCAUGAGAUAAUACAAAGAGAUACCAUUCACGCAAAAGACCGAAAGGAGCUGGUCCCUCCACAGAGCUCCGCUUGAUCUGACACGGGUGACAGAAACGGUAAAAGCGGGCUAUUUCCAUUGGAUGGUCUCCAGAAAUGAAAUCAGAGCACAGCAUUGUGAUUAGUCAGCUCAUACGGCGAAUUCCCAGUUUCAAUCCAGGGAGUUUUCUGGCCAGGAUGAAGCGAGCACAUCUUCCCAUGGAAAGGCUCAUCCAGCACCAAUGUUAUCUCCAGGUCAACCAGGUCAGAAAAUAA